rnacentral:tRNA from 4 species
GCUGGUGUGGCGAAACUGGUAUCCGCAACCGCCUUGUAAGCGGUCGUCUGUACGACAUGGGAGUUCAAAUCUCCUCACCAGCA